GGCACAUCUGGGUACAUUGCCACUGAAAGGGUUAACAGGGUGCAUAGGCAGAUAGUCUGAUUAACCCAUUGAGUGGUAGCACUCUCCCCCUGACAAGUAAAACCGUCUGGUGAUAGACAGACUAAAAUUGUAAAGUAGGGUGCAUAUCUGGGUGCAUUGCCACUUAAGGGGGUAACAGGGUGCAUGCCAUGUGCAGAUAGUCUGAUUAUAACCCAUUGCAAAAUAAUAAAGUAAGGGACCGUUCAUUAAUUAAGGAC